CAAAGAAUUGAGCAGGACACACAGCAGGAGAAAUGAAAGCAUAAAAGAUCUGUAUACUUCUCAGGGUGGGAGUAGGCCAGGGAGAAGAAAAUGCUCAUGGCACCAAAGAGUCUCUGUGUGGUUUUUACAAGAUGUAUAGCAGAGUGAGCAAGAGAAAAUUCAUGAAGUAAACUCAAUCACACACUGUUUACAAGGAUCAGGUAUCUGGACCAAGGGUGUACUGACUGGAGGUCCAGCAGUUAUUUUGUACCACAUUCCACACUGUAUGAAUACUGAAACAGAAAAUGAAGCGUUCUGGACUCUUGAUGAAAAAAC
ensembl:lncRNA